GACAGAGGGUGCAAACGUUGUUCGGAAUUACUGGGCGUAAAGCGCGUGUAGGCGGCUAAGUAAGUCGGGCGUGAAAUCCCACGGCUCAACCGUGGAAGUGCACUCGAAACUGCAUAGCUAGAGUCCUGGAGAGGAAGGUGGAAUGCUUGGUGUAGAGGUGAAAUUCGUAGAUAUUCGCAAGAACACCAGUGGCGAAGGCGGCUCACUGGCCCGGUACUGACGCUGAGGUGCGAAAGCGUGGGGAGCAAACAGG
rnacentral:rRNA from 1 species